rnacentral:rRNA from 1 species
UACGUAGGGCGCAAGCGUUGUCCGGAAUUAUUGGGCGUAAAGAGCUCGUAGGCGGUUUGUCGCGUCUGCUGUGAAAACCUAAGGCUCAACCUUGGGCUUGCAGUGGGUACGGGCAGACUAGAGUGCGGUAGGGGUGACUGGAAUUCCUGGUGUAGCGGUGGAAUGCGCAGAUAUCAGGAAGAACACCAAUGGCGAAAGCAGCUUUCUGGGACGGUACUGACGCUGAGACGCGAAAGCGUGGGGAGCGAACAGG